GAGAGGGACGAGAGAGAGAGAGGGACGAGAGAGUUAAAGUUAGAGGGAAGAGAGAGAGAGAGAGAGGGAAGAGAGAGAUAGCGAGAGGGAAGAGUGAGAGGGAAGAGAGAGAGAGGGACGAGAGAGAGAGGGGGAAGAGAGAGAGAGAGGGACGAGAGAGAGAGAGGGACGAGAGAGUUAAAGUUAGAGGGAAGAGAGAGAGAGAGAGCGAGAGGGAAGAGAGAGAUAGCGAGAGGGAAGAGAGAGAUAGCGAGAGGGAAGAGAGAGAUAGCGAGAGGGAAGAGAGAGAGAGCGAGAGAGAGAGAGAGAGAGGGAAGAGAGAGAGAGAGAGAGGGAAGAGAG
ensembl:lncRNA